GUGAAUUUCGUGACCUUGCACAGUAGCCCCGUGACGUCACCGCACAGCAGGGAAAACCGCAUCCGUGGUUGCCCUAUAUCCACGUUACUGUACCACUUGUAAUAACGCAAUGAUACCACUGCACACACAAGCGCCCGCACGUAAACAAACACGCGUAUAUUAUAAACGCCAAGCUGGCGAGCGCGAUCGCACGAAAGCGAAAUAAAAUGACAAAAAAAAA